rnacentral:rRNA from 1 species
GUGCCAGCCGCCGCGGUAAUACGGAGGGGGCGAGCGUUGUCCGAAGUUACUGGGCGUAAAGAGCGCGUAGGCGGGUUGGCAAGUCCGCUGUGAAAGCCCGGAGCUUAACUCCGGAGGGUCGGUGGAUACUGUCAGUCUUGAAGUUGCUAGGGGGAGAUGGAAUUACCGGUGUAGCGGUGAAAUGCGUAGAGAUCGGUAGGAACACCAGUGGCGAAGGCGGUCUCCUGGAGCACACUUGACGCUGAGGCGCGAAAGCUGGGGGAGCAAACGGGAUUAGAUACCCCCGUAGUCC